CUAAUAUGUAAAACACUCCCCCUCACAACCAAUCCCCCGGCACCCUAUCCCUGCGCUCCCUUCCCCCACCCACGCCAUAAUUCGAGUAAUUUGUUUACUUUAUGUUACCCAACGCUAACAUAUAUAGAUCCUAUUUUUUCGGAUCUAAGAGAGAGAGGUGGUGGCUAGUGGAGCUGUUGAGCACCGACGCCCCUGGCUAGGAACGGCGGCAGAUCUGGCGGCUCGGUGCGAAAGCUGAACGGCGGCAGUUACAAGCCCGGCCGUCCUCCAGGCGCGGUGAUCCUCCACCGCCGGCCGACCUCAUCCCCAUCCUUUCUCCCGCCGUCUGGUCGCCGCUAUUUGAGGUGCGCCGGGCGGUGGCUCGGUGGAGCGGUUGAGCGACGGCUGUCGGCUAGGAGCAGCGACAGAGUUGGAAGCUCGGUGCAGAAGGUGAACGGCGACGGUGACAAGCCGGCCGUCCUCCAUUCGUGGCAAUCCAUCACCAUCGGCCAACCUCAUCCCCGUCUUCUCUCUUGCCGUCUGGUCGUCGCCAUUCGAGAUGUGUCGCCCGGGUUCGUCGUCGCUGCAUAAUCCACCUGCCGGCCUGGAUCUGCCCUCCCUCUCUGGCGCACCUGCCGCUUGUCUCCUCUCACUGCUGUCGUCGAGGGGAUGGGGCCCUUCCGGCCGCCCUCCUCCCAGGUAUAGGGCGUCACUAUCCUCAUCCAGGAAGAUGCAGGUGGUUGAUCCUGGCUAUUGUUCUUCGUGGUCGUGGGUAACCUGCUUCUGCUGAGGAGAAGAUCUGGAGAUUCUCAUGUCCUUUUGUCUCAGUUCUGGAUUGCUGCAACAAUGUGUCUAUGCUUGCGUUUUCUUGAUCUAGAUCUCGAGGCGAGACCGUACUGGUGUUAUUGCAUUUAAUUUGUUUUUUUUCCCGAUUCUUGGGUAAAUGCUUCACUUGGGCUUGUUGAGUUUCCAGGAAAGAGAUCCAGGAGGGGAGCACUUUGUGGGGUGAUUUAUCCUUGAUUCUAAAAUGGGAGGAUAGCUGGCACCAGCGUGGUGGUGGUGUUUUUCUUGGAUCACGAUGAAUAUGUGUAUUUGUCUAGUUGUGGUGUUUGGCGAGUUGGGAUGUUACGUGCAGCAGUAUUUUUCUCUUUUUUCCCCUUAUCAUGAGAAUAUGUGUAUUUUGUCUCCCAUGUGUAAUUUUGUUGGUCACUUGAUAGAACAAAAAUUCAAUUAUUAUGACAUAACCAUGUUCUUGUUCUUGUUAA